GGGCGGGGCGGGGCUCGGAUUUAAGGAAAAAGGCUAAAACUGGGUUUUAAGGAAAAAAGGCAAAAAAAUGGGUUUUAAGUGUUAAGCCGGGUCAAUGACUCCGAAUCUGUUCUGAGAGAGCAGCCAGUGGUGCUCAGGAUCUGCCAGCCAGUGUUUAUUCCAGCUGCUUGAGCUGAUCCUGCCUGUGUGACAAACAGGAAUGCUUUCAAUGCCACCAAUAUUUGUAUUAAUGUUGGUUUUACCACCUGGACAUCCUAUCAGCAAGCUGGGACAUUUUCCACACCAGUGGAACCCUUGGAAGACAAAGCAAGACUGUGCUGCAGACAAGUGUCACCCUGCAAAGGUCAGGGCCCACAGUCUGUACUGAUCCACAUGCUGGGCAAUGACCCUUCAAGGAGAGCUCAUGACUCAGAGUUCCUCAAUGCCCUUUGCUCAAUGCCUGCAUUUGGACCCCUGGAGUUGUGAUGAAGGUACCUGACUGCCUUCUCUUGCAGGAUUCAGGCCCUCUUAACAGGAGCCAUGUGACCCAAAAGAUUAUUUCCCCCCUUCUCUUCUAACUUUCUGGAGAUUUAAACUCCUUCUAAGAAAAUGUAAGUACUAUGCAAUUAAUCCAUUUUUAUGACACAUAUGUACAGAUCAAGAAGUUUCAAUUCCAGUAGGUUUUGCACAGAAGUCUGGGGCAGAGCUAAAAUAAUUUAAUACCAGGUUCUAAAGAUCUGAGCAGUACACAUAGCAACUAACUUCCAGAAAAAAACAGAACUCAGCAGAAAAUAAGACAGCAAUGGAAUACUUACAAAGUUUGCUAAGAGUAUGAACAAAAUAUAGUCAGGUUGAAUAUAUACUAAAAAGAAUUCUAAUUUCUUUAUAGGUUUAUAUAAUAUAGGUACAUUAGCACCAAAAACCACCCAGAACAGUCCUUGCAAUGAAGGUAUGAAUAUCUAUAAACACUGAACUACAGAAUAAUUUGUCAGUGCAGUAAAGAAAUCAUCACAUUGCCAAUAAAUUUUCCUUCUGCAGGUGCAGUAAAUUUCCUCUGGUGUUUAUGUCAAGUGCUGUGACCUUGCAACUCCAGUACAAAAUUAUUUUAAGUACUUUAACGUUUGUGUUGCCUGAAGUUUUCACUUCCUCUUUGGAAAAAGCAUAUCCUGACAAAUCUUCACAUUAUCUGCCUUGGGAAACCAAGCUGCUUAGUCAUUCAGUAACUGCCUUCUCCUCACAGAAAACAG